UACUGAUUAGCAAGGGUAACUCGGAUUGC
rnacentral:sRNA from 1 species